GGAUGUGAGGGUGAUCUGGCUGUGACAUUUGUCACCCUAUUGAUCACCAAGGUUGAUUUGGCUGAUCUGGGUGGCUAGGUGGUUGUCCCCUUCCUCCCUUGCUGCUUGAUGUGCAUCCCUCCUGAAGCUGUGUGCUUGAAUCAAGAGGAUGACCAUCCCAGCUAGAGAACGACUGUUCUUCACUCAAGGAUAUAUCAGUAGCUGUGUUCCCCUGCCCGAACUUCCAAACACGGACUCAAGGUCUAAAAACUCCACUCCUUU
rnacentral:sRNA from 1 species